GGGGAAUUGUUCACAAUGGGCGCAAGCCUGAUGACGCAACGCCGCGUGGGGGAUGAAGGUCUUCGGAUUGUAAACCCCUGUCGAAUGGGACGAAAGACCCGGGAGCUAAUCAUCCCGGGAGUGACGGUACCGUUAAAGGAAGCCACGGCUAACUCUGUGCCAGCAGCCGCGGUAAUACAGAGGUCCCAAGCGUUGUUCGGAUUCACUGGGCGUAAAGGGCGCGUAGGUGGUGAGGUAAGUCGGAUGUGAAAGCUCCGAGCUCAACUCGGAAAUGGCAUUGGAAACUACCUUGCUCGAGGGUUUGAGGGGGGACUGGAAUACUUGGUGUAGCAGUGAAAUGCGUAGAUAUCAAGUAGAACACCAGUGGCGAAGGCGAGUCCCUGGAAAACUCCUGACACUGAGGCACGAAAGCUAGGGGAGCAAA
rnacentral:rRNA from 1 species